rnacentral:sRNA from 1 species
CCUUAGUUCCUCUUAGACAACCACAUUCAGUCCUGUGACUCUCUAGUGGACAUUGGGACAGAAGAGGGGGAAAUCUGUCCUAACUGCCCUGCACAGGGCACCUCCGGAAGCCAUUGGAUAGAAUUGUACCCAGCCUUUUACUUACUUAUUUUUUUGUUUUGAUUAUAUUUAUUUAUUUACUUACAGGGUAUAUGAGGCACCUACCACUGUGCCUGGCAACCUGAAUUCUACCCACAUGGUGCCAGGAGAUAAAAGACUCCCAUGCCAGGCUGUACUUCAGAGGGCCACAGGAAGAACCAGGGGGAGUUCAUUAAGGAAACACAUACAGAGGUGAAGGUAGAAUGCUGGAACCCGUGUGCGAUGGUGAGAGGCAGGAAAAAGAGUAUGGAAUACAGAAGGAUGAAGGAAUACUAGGGGCUCAGAGGACAUUGCAGAAGAAGAAACAAAAAGAAUAUAAGUACCAGAGGAUGGAGAGGAGUGCUAUGAACUACACUUGACACAGUUGUGGCACAUAUGAAGUCAAAGAAGCUGUGGUUACCUGCAUAAGGCCUGUAUAAGAUCAAGCCAAUUGAAACUUCCAAUAUGGAUGGGGGAAAAACUCACAAGGCCCCAACCCUAGUUGAGAAGCUAUUGACAGUUAAUUGUUGCUGGAUAAGAGAGUUCAUUUUGUGGUGUAUGGCCCUCGUAGGUGGUCUGUGCCCCAGCAAAUGGCAUGACAUCCAUGCUUAUAUGGACAGUGUUAAUUAAACGCAGUGAAUUGUAAAAUAAAAGAAGAAAAGGAGAAAAAGGAGAUGAAGUUUGAAGUGAGAUGCAUUGGGGGAACCUAGGGGAAACUGGAACAGGAAAUGGAUGGGUAGUGUGCCAGUUUGAAUAGGAAUGGCCCCCAUAAAUCUCAAGUGUUUGAAUGCUUGACCAAUAGGGA